rnacentral:tRNA from 1 species
GGUAGUGUGGCCGAGUGGUCUAAGGCGUACGACUCAAGUUCGUAUGGCGCAAGCCUCGUGGGUUCGAAUCCCACCGCUAUCA